rnacentral:misc_RNA from 1 species
AAUAAAAUAUCAUAGCAAAUUAGCCUCUUUAUAAAAAGUAAAGAAUGGAAAUUCAGGAUUGGAGGCAAGUAUAAAAUAUAUCAUAGAGAAAAUGACAAAUUCAAUUUUGACAGUGAGUUCAGCUUAAUCAAUUUAAACUAAUCCGAAUCAGUAACCAAAACAAAUCUUGAAUAUAAGUAUAUUUUGACUCUGAAAGUGAAAAUCAAUCCAGAGACAAACAAGAGAUCCAUCAGAAACAUAAGUUGCAGCACCCCUAAUACAAGGAAAAUUACAAGGUUAUCCAUUUUGACAUAGGGCAAUAAAAAACAAGCAAAAAAAGGGCAGCCACUCUUAAAUACUAGGUUCCUAACUAAAAUGAUUAAAAUUUUCCAAUGAACUGACAUGAUUAAAAUGACACAGAGGUUUUCACUUUCCCAGGGAAUAUAUAUACUGCCUAAAUAAUGCUAUAGCAGUUUUACUCACUACUUCCCUUCAGCUUCUAGAUUCAUGCUUCGGCAAUCAUACACAUAAACUCUUCAUAUUGAUAAUCAACUUGAUUAAGCUCAAAUGAAAACCGAUAAUCACCAGUGAAAAUUUGUCUGUGACCAAAUUAUAGGCCAUGCGCUAUUCUAAGAUGCAAUCCCAGAUUAUCGAGGGACAAACACAUGCUACUGGUUUAUGCAUGUAAAGGAUUGUCAUAGCUGAUUAAAAUAUGAGACUGUCCAAAAAAAAAAGGCUAUAGACUGAGAUUGAAUGAACCAAUAUACUGACCUAAAAAUAAAUUGAUAGUUAGAAUAAACUGACCUAAGCGAAUGAACAAAAGAGACGCCGGUGGGUAAACGAGAAACUCAGGAAACGCCGCCGAUUUAUGAGUUUGAAUUUCUUCUAUGAACGAACCCAAGAAACCCCGAAGAGGAAGGAGGAACAAACCCCAGAAACCCACGUGUUUGAAUGCCUCCGGUCUCAUGUGAAGAUCUGCUGUGAAGGAAUGAGGGAAGUAAGAGGGGGGAGAACAGUGAGCAGCGCCAAGGGUUCAAAUCCUAAAAUGA